GCCCUGGUGGCGCAGUGGUUAAAUGCCUGUACUGCAGCCACAAGGUUGCGAGUUCAAUACCAGCCCGGGCUG